UACGGGGGGGGCAAGCGUUGUUCGGAAUUACUGGGCGUAAAGGGCUCGUAGGUGGCCAACUAAGUCAGACGUGAAAUCCCUCAGCUUAACUGGGGAACUGCGUCUGAUACUGGAUGGCUUGAGUUCGGGAGAGGAGCGUGGAAUUCUCAGUGUAGAGGUGAAAUUCGUAGAUAUUGGGAAGAACACCGGUGGCGAAGGCGGCGCUCUGGACCGAGACUGACGCUGAGGCGCGAAAGCGUGGGGAGCAAACAGG
rnacentral:rRNA from 1 species